GACGAACGCUGGCGGCGUGCUUAACACAUGCAAGUCGAGCGGAAAGGCCCUUCGGGGUACUCGAGCGGCGAACGGGUGAGUAACACGUGAGUAACCUGCCCCAGACUUUGGGAUAACCCUCGGAAACGGGGGCUAAUACCGGAUACGACACAGCUUCGCAUGGGGUCUGUGUGGAAAGGUUUUCGGUUUUGGAUGGGCUCGCGGCCUAUCAGCUUGUUGGUGGGGUGAUGGCCUACCAAGGCGACGACGGGUAGCCGGCCUGGGAGGGCGACCGGCCACACUGGUCCUGAGACACGGCCCAGACUCCUACGUGAGGCAGCAGUCGGGAAUAUUGCACAAUGGGCGGAAGCCUGAUGCAGCGACGCCGCGUGUGUGAUGCCGGCCUUCGGGUUGUAAACCUCUUUCAGCUGAGACGAAGCGUAAGUGACGUUACCUGCAGAAGAAGCGCCGGCCAACUACGUG
rnacentral:rRNA from 1 species